UUUUUUAUGUUUUGAAUAUAAUGUUCUGUAGUAGCCCACAGCUGACGUUAAAAAUAUGUUGCAUUGGCAAACAAGAUGCUGUAAGUAAUAGGUAAAAUUUAAGUUUCGGGGCGGCUGUUUUAUCAAUAUUUUUACCUAACAACAUUCAUGUUUCAAAAUGAACGCUGGUGACAAUGACUCAAGCUUUAAACCUGGCUGGAAUAAAUUUGUUGACGGUUGAGAGUCGAAUGUAUUGGUGGAACGAAAUUAUGGAUACAAACUCGCCUGACGGUAAUAAAAUAUUUGUUGGACUGGCAAACAAAAAGGCAGGAAAUGUUGUUCGCAAUUAAACACAAUGUUGUUAGUUUGCCAUUACUUUUUCAUAAAAAAACUGCAAGAGAUGAUUCGUUUUCAAAAUAAACGCUGAUUCUCGACGCUU